rnacentral:rRNA from 1 species
UUGAAGAGUUUGAUCAUGGCUCAGAUUGAACGCUGGCGGCAGGCCUAACACAUGCAAGUCGAACGGUAACAGGAAGCAGCUUGCUGCUUUGCUGACGAGUGGCGGACGGGUGAGUAAUGUCUGGGAAACUGCCUGAUGGAGGGGGAUAACUACUGGAAACGGUAGCUAAUACCGCAUAACGUCGCAAGACCAAAGAGGGGGACCUUCGGGCCUCUUGCCAUCGGAUGUGCCCAGAUGGGAUUAGCUUGUUGGUGGGGUAACGGCUCACCAAGGCGACGAUCCCUAGCUGGUCUGAGAGGAUGACCAGCCACACUGGAACUGAGACACGGUCCAGACUCCUACGGGAGGCAGCAGUGGGGAAUAUUGCACAAUGGGCGCAAGCCUGAUGCAGCCAUGCCGCGUGUAUGAAGAAGGCCUUCGGGUUGUAAAGUACUUUCAGCGGGGAGGAAGGGAGUAAAGUUAAUACCUUUACUCAUUGACGUUACCCGCAGAAGAAGCACCGGCUAACUCCGUGCCAGCAGCCGCGGUAAUACGGAGGGUGCAAGCGUUAAUCGGAAUUACUGGGCGUAAAGCGCACGCAGGCGGUUUGUUAAGUCAGAUGUGAAAUCCCCGGGCUCAACCUGGGAACUGCAUCUGAUACUGGCAAGCUUGAGUCUCGUAGAGGGGGGUAGAAUUCCAGGUGUAGCGGUGAAAUGCGUAGAGAUCUGGAGGAAUACCGGUGGCGAAGGCGGCCCCCUGGACGAAGACUGACGCUCAGGUGCGAAAGCGUGGGGAGCAAACAGGAUUAGAUACCCUGGUAGUCCACGCCGUAAACGAUGUCGACUUGGAGGUUGUGCCCUUGAGGCGUGGCUUCCGGAGCUAACGCGUUAAGUCGACCGCCUGGGGAGUACGGCCGCAAGGUUAAAACUCAAAUGAAUUGACGGGGGCCCGCACAAGCGGUGGAGCAUGUGGUUUAAUUCGAUGCAACGCGAAGAACCUUACCUGGUCUUGACAUCCACAGAACUUUCCAGAGAUGGAUUGGUGCCUUCGGGAACUGUGAGACAGGUGCUGCAUGGCUGUCGUCAGCUCGUGUUGUGAAAUGUUGGGUUAAGUCCCGCAACGAGCGCAACCCUUAUCCUUUGUUGCCAGCGGUCCGGCCGGGAACUCAAAGGAGACUGCCAGUGAUAAACUGGAGGAAGGUGGGGAUGACGUCAAGUCAUCAUGGCCCUUACGACCAGGGCUACACACGUGCUACAAUGGCGCAUACAAAGAGAAGCGACCUCGCGAGAGCAAGCGGACCUCAUAAAGUGCGUCGUAGUCCGGAUUGAGUCUGCAACUCGACUCCAUGAAGUCGGAAUCGCUAGUAAUCGUGGAUCAGAAUGCCACGGUGAAUACGUUCCCGGGCCUUGUACACACCGCCCGUCACACCAUGGGAGUGGGUUGCAAAAGAAGUAGGUAGCUUAACCUUCGGGAGGGCGCUUACCACUUUGUGAUUCAUGACUGGGGUGAAGUCGUAACAAGGUAACCGUAGGGGAACCUGCGGUUGGAUCACCUCCUU